GUGACUUGAGGAUUACAUAGAGGAAGUUAAAAAAGAUAUUUUGCAUCAUUUAAUUACGAGCCCUUUAACUAUCUGAGUAAUGUUGAUGGAGUCCAGAAAAAUGUGUCUUGGUCUGCCUUAGGCAGCAUAAAAUGAGAACAUGCUUGAUCUCAGAGGGGGAAAAAGGCACAUGGAGAGAUUGGAACAGGGAACUUGCACUUGACAAAUGACCCAAGCAUGAGAAAAUUAACUGGCAAAAUAUUAACACUUCAUCUUCUGAGAAGCUUGGCAUUAUCAGAAAAGAAGGAUUCACUGUACCUUUUUAAAAACCACCCAAUCAAACAAAAAAACCAACCAAACAACAAAGGAAAAAACCCAUUGUCAAAGCCUAUUUCCCUUCUGAGCUAAUCAGGCUCCAGUUAUUUAAAUCAGUGUUCUUCCCAGAAGUUGUAUUCUGGUGCAACAGGGGUGUAUCAUUAAGUGUCCCUCCACUGGAAGAAGCAAAUCACAGUUCUCUAUUUCUCCAGUUUCCAUCUCUGAAUUUCCACUGUUUUUCUUGAUGUUACUCCCCUUUAUAAUCAUGGCAGUUACAAAAGUAAGGCCCCUGUGUGUAACUCCCAGCCCAACCCCUUGGUGAGUGUAAACAACAAUGACUUGUGAAGGCUGUCCGAUUUCAGGGGAAGGACUACGUGGUUUUUACAAAUAUAGGGGCCGAUCCUGUUCCCACUGAAGUCUAUAGGAGUUUAGCUUAUGAACUGGAAACUUCUCUCAGUCUUAGCUGUAUUCAGAUUCUGUAGCUGUCCAGCUCCUUUGGCUAUUCCUUCCAAGUCUAUAGCUCCAGAGGUGGAAAUUCUCCUAUCUUCUAGUGUAUAUGCAGACAAGUGAGGGGGUCUGAUCCCACCAAAUGAUGUUUGGUGGGUGUUGACUAAUUUGCAGAUCUACUCUUUUGGGGGAGGGUUGAGGUUUUUUUGCUAAUAUCUUGACUUCCACCUUGGGAGGAGUCAGAUGAAACAUAUAAAUUGUGAGACAGAAGCAUGACUUAGUUAGGAUGAACAGAAUACAUCAGCUGAGGUAGAGCUAGGCACCCACAGAGCAGUCAGCCAGGGAAACUGCUGCUUUCCAGCUAAAAAGCAUGACAAGCCUCUCUUUGCUAAUAAGACAGGGAGCACAAUCAGGCAAGUGGAGUAAGUGCUGUUUACUCAAAAUCUCUGUUCCCUAGUACUACAUCAAGCUCCUACUCUGAGUCUAUUGAUAGAUGUCAUAUACAAAAGUCCAUCUCCUUCAGAUAGGACAAAGAAACGGAGAAUGAACCAAAGGAGCACUGCCCUGUUUUCUGUUGCACCAAACUAAGGGCAUUAGAUUCAAAGACUUCUGUUCAAUUACCUUGACAUGUAACCACUGAGGCUUCUAGUCUUGGCAUUCCUGUGCCAGUUUUGCAGAAAAGAUGCCUCCCUGUCUUCAACAGAAUGGAAAGACAAAAGCAGCUUUGCUCAUAGAAUGUCUCCUAGAAUGGCAGAAUCAUAUUUCAGGAAUAUUAAAUCAUUCUGCAUUUCCAUCACGAGUCUUAGGAUUUCUAAAUUCAAACAAUUUAUAAUUUAGAUCACAAACUACCCUCUAAAUAGUGAUUUGAUGAAACACAGGAACCCUGCGGAAGGCUGUGUUUUUCUUAAAAUAUGACAGAAGGAAUAUUUAUUUUGAGUACAAAAUUGUUUCAUUAAAAAAAAAGCAUGGCUUAGUAGAGAUUUUUUCAGAAGUAAGAUUCAUGAGGAAGCAUCAGUGUCUUUAAAGCCCUGUUUAAAUCUCAGGUCAACAUUAUACUUGUGUUGCAGCAAACAUGACACACAUCACAAAUAAUUCCAUUCCAUUAAGUAAAAACUCUCCUAGACUAAAAUGAACUUACUUCAUAUCGAGCUGGAGCUUUUCACUGUACAUGCAAACAUGUAGGAAAAUAUAAAAUUCAGAUUGUAACUUAGCUAGGGAAAAUUAUGACUUUUUAAGGAUUAAGAAAACUAGAGAGAGAGACAGAAACCGCAAGUCUUUGAUUUCUACAGUUGACAUGUCAAAACAAACCUAUAAAAGAAAGUAUCAGGACAAAGACUGCUUGGGUAAUGUACACCAGUAAAGUGAAGUCUGUCCAUAAAGAAGUCAACCAACUGUGCCUGCAGCCUGUGACACAAGCACGCUGGAUGCUCUAAUGUUCAAGACACUCUACAGAACCAAGACUUAGGUGGCGUGUGUUUUCCACUGAUCUUCUAAGUGCUCUUGCACAGGAAAACCUUAUUUGUAAAGUAAGUGAAAAGAUUAAUCACUGCUUUUUCAUGUCUUUCCCACAUACCCUUCUAUGGAUAAAGCUUAAAAAAAAAUUCAGUAACUGAAAAAACUAAAAUGUGACAAGUACAUUACAGUUUGAGAUAUAUGUCAGGCAAAUGAUUUUUCAGGUACUCUUCUGGCAUUGCCUGCAUAUCCACAGAGUUCAUAAAACAACUAAAUGAUGAUUUAUGCAUGGUAACUUCCUAGGCAGUAAUUGUUAUGCCAAGAAAAACUUAUUUACUGAUUGCAGGCACCCAUACAAUAACAGACGGAUUUUUUUUAUUCAUGAACCAAUCAAUCAGUGUGAAGCACAGAUGGUGAAUGGUGAAAACAGAAAAUACAAGGUUCAUUUUUCCUUCAUUUCUAAAGAGAAUGUCUAAGCUAUAUUGUUGUCACUGAGAAGUGGGUCUCUGCUGUGAAAUGUAGAACAAAAUAAUGUGGGUUGACCUAGAAACUGUACAGUUUCUGUGGUUACAGAGGUAAAAUCACGCUGCACAGGCAACAAAACAUAAAUUUCUAUGGUACAUUUGUAACUUGGCUCAUGUAUUUGCCUUUCGAAUCACAGAGAAUUCAAGAAAUGUCAAGAUAUUAAUUCUGAAAAUCAGAUCAGCAACAAAAAAAAAAAGAAAAUUGCCCUAAACCUGUAGCACUAUUUCAGUACUCAAAA